rnacentral:lncRNA from 1 species
UCGGUUGCAACGGAUUUAAAGGGGAUUGGAAUAGAUUGAGGAGGAUUAAAUCCCCUGUAAGUCAAAAUCCACCUCAAUCCCCUUUAAUCCUCUCCAAUCCCGUUAUAGUGAGGAUUAACCGAACAAGCCCUGAGGAUGGCCUAUGGAGACGGCCAACUCAAAUUGCUCCUGAACAAGGGAUCGAUAGUCAUCAUUCAGGAAUCAGGACUCCACGUCCAGGGCACUGCUAGCCUGAUUGACGCGUUCUGGGCAAGGGAUCGAUCUAGAUCGCAACCGUCGUCACGCCUAGGCAAAAUAGACGAACUGGCUUCCACCGAACACGAAGGAGCGAUCACGCUCUUGGUCGAGUCAUUG